rnacentral:rRNA from 1 species
UACGUAGGUGGCAAGCGUUGUCCGGAUUUACUGGGCGUAAAGGGAGCGUAGGCGGAUUUUUAAGUGAGAUGUGAAAUACCCGGGCUUAACUUGGGUGCUGCAUUUCAAACUGGAAGUCUAGAGUGCAGGAGAGGAGAAUGGAAUUCCUAGUGUAGCGGUGAAAUGCGUAGAGAUUAGGAAGAACACCAGUGGCGAAGGCGAUUCUCUGGACUGUAACUGACGCUGAGGCUCGAAAGCGUGGGGAGCAAACAGGAUUAGAUACCCGGGUAGUCCCU